GACGAACGCUGGCGGCGUGCUUAACACAUGCAAGUCGAACGGAAAGGCCCUGCUUGCAGGGUCUUCGCGUGGCGAACGGGUGUGUAACACGUGUGUGAUCUGCCCUGCACAUUGGGAUAAGACUGCGAAACUGGGUUUAUUACAGGAUAGGAGCGAUUCUUCGUGUGAUGGUUGGAAAGUUUUUUCGGUCUAGGAUGGGCUCGCGGCCUAUCUGUUUGUUGGUUGGGUAAUGGCCUACCAAGGCGGCGACGGGUAGCCGGCCUGGGAGGGUGGACGGCCACAUUGGGGCCGGGAUACGGCCCAGACGCCUACGGGAGGCAGGAGUUGGGAAGAUUUCAAAAUGGGCGCGAACCUUAUGCAGCAACGGCGCGUGGCGGAGUACGGCCCUCGGGUUGGAAACCCCUUUUGCCAUGUGCGGAACUUUGUGUGACGGUACCUAGAUAAGAAGCACCGGCUAACUACGUG
rnacentral:rRNA from 1 species